rnacentral:rRNA from 1 species
UACGAAGGGGGCUAGCGUUGCUCGGAAUCACUGGGCGGAAAGCGCACGUAGGCGGAUUGCUAAGUCAGGGGUGAAAUCCUGGAGCUCAACUCCAGAACUGCCUUUGAUACUGGCGAUCUCGAGUCCGGGAGAGGUGAGUGGAACUGCGAGUGUAGAGGUGAAAUUCGUAGAUAUUCGCAAGAACACCAGUGGCGAAGGCGGCUCACUGGCCCGGUACUGACGCUGAGAUGCGAAAGCGUGGGGAGCAAACAGG